UACGUAGGUGGCAAGCGUUGUCCGGAUUUACUGGGCGUAAAGAGCGCGCAGGCGGUCGUUCAAGUCGCGUGUGAAAGCCCCCGGCUCAACUGGGGAGGGUCACGCGAUACUGAUCGACUCGAAGGCAGGAGAGGGUAGUGGAAUUCCCGGUGUAGUGGUGAAAUGCGUAGAUAUCAGGAGGAACACCGGUGGCGAAGGCGGGACUCUGGGCCGAUACUGACGCUGAGGCGCGAAAGCGUGGGGAGCAAACAGG
rnacentral:rRNA from 1 species